UCCACGCCGUAAACGAUGAUCACUAGAUGUGGGUCUUGUUUUGCAAGAUCCGUGUCGAAGCUAACGCGUUAAGUGAUCCGCCUGGGGAGUACGGUCGCAAGAUUAAAACUCAAAGGAAUUGACGGGGGUCCGCACAAGCGGUGGAACAUGUGGUUUAAUUCGACACUACGCGAGGAACCUUACCUGGGUUUGACAUGUAUACGCCUGUCAUGGAAACAUGAUUUUCCAAGUUUACUUGGACGUUUACACAGGUGCUGCAUGGCUGUCGUCAGCUCGUGUCGUGAGAUGUUGGGUUAAGUCCUUUAACGAGCGCAACCCUUGCCGUUAGUUGCUAUCUCUUCGG
rnacentral:rRNA from 1 species